rnacentral:rRNA from 1 species
UGGGGAAUAUUGCACAAUGGACGGAAGUUUGAUGCAGCGACGCCGCGUGGAGGGGGUAGGCCUUCGGGUUGUGAACUCCUUUUUCUCGCGAAAAAGGCACAGUUUUGACUGUGUUGAUGGUAGUGGGGGAAGAAGCGCCGGCUAAUUACGUGUCAGCAGCCGUGGUAAUACGUAGGGCGCGAGCGUUGUUCGGAUUUAUUGGGCGUAAAGAGCUCGUAGGUGGUUCGUCGCGUCUGUCGAGAAAGCCAGAAGCUUAACUGUUGGUCUGCGGUAGGUACUGGCCGGCUUGAGUGCGGUAGGUGUGACUGGCAUUCCUAGUGUAGCGGUGGAAUGCGCAGAUAUCAGGAGGAACACCGAUGACGAAGACAGGUCACUGGGCCGUUACUGACACUGAGUAGCGAAAGCGUGGGGAGCGAACAGG